GAGGCAUUAGCAGAUUUAGAAUGAGACCCAGCUGUGAUGAAGAGCUUCAGAAAUGAAACUACUGUGAAAUAUGAGUCUCCUCCUACUGACUGCAGAGCUGCUUCAUGGCAGAGAACUCUUUGAUUCCAGCUGUGAACAUCAGACCAAACACAACUGACAGAACGUGUUCAUACUGAACAUUCAGUUCCAGCAUUUCUCCUCUGUCAACAUGGAGAAACUCGCUGCACUUUUGUUCUUUUCAGCUCUCGUAGGUAACACCUUGGAAGAUGAUAUUACUGCCAGCAGAGCUGAAGUGUUCUCAUCAGAGGGCCGUAGUGUUACUCUGUCCUGUAGCUAUUCAGUUAAAGCCGAUAAUCUCCAGUGGUAUCGACAGGAUCCUGGAUCAGCUCCUCAGUUCCUUCUCCUGAUCACUGAUGCAAAAGAGCCUUCAGUGGUGGAAGCAAAACCUCCACACCCUCAACUGACCGCUAACCUGAAUGAGGAGAGGAAUCGAGUCGAUCUGCAGAUCUCCUCUGCUGCAGUGACAGACUCUGCUGUGUACUACUGUGCUGUG